GAUGAACGCUGGCGGCGUGCCUAAUACAUGCAAGUCGAGCGAACAGACGAGGAGCUUGCUCCUUCGACGUUAGCGGCGGACGGGUGAGUAACACGUAGGUAACCUACCUAUAAGACUGGGAUAACUUCGGGAAACCGAGCUAAUACCGGAUAAUAUUUCGAACCGCAUGGUUCGAUAGUGAAAGAUGGCUUUGCUAUUACUUAUAGAUGGACCUGCGCCGUAUUAGCUAGUUGGUAAGGUAACGGCUUACCAAGGCAACGAUACGUAGCCGACCUGAGAGGGUGAUCGGCCACACUGGAACUGAGACACGGUCCAGACUCCUACGGGAGGCAGCAGUAGGGAAUCUUCCGCAAUGGGCGAAAGCCUGACGGAGCAACGCCGCGUGAGUGAUGAAGGUCUUCGGAUCGUAAAACUCUGUUAUUAGGGAAGAACAAACGUGUAAGUAACUGUGCACGUCUUGACGGUACCUAAUCAGAAAGCCACGGCUAACUACGUG
rnacentral:rRNA from 1 species